rnacentral:rRNA from 1 species
GAUGAACGCUGACAGAAUGCUUAACACAUGCAAGUCAACUUGAACUUCGGUUUGGGUGGCGGACGGGUGAGUAACGCGUAAAGAACUUGCCUCACAGAUAGGGACAACAUUUGGAAACGAAUGCUAAUACCUGAUAUUAUGAUUUUAGGGCAUCCUAGAAUUAUGAAAGCUAUAUGCGCUGUGAGAGAGCUUUGCGUCCCAUUAGCUAGUUGGAGAGGUAACGGCUCACCAAGGCGAUGAUGGGUAGCCGGCCUGAGAGGGUGAUCGGCCACAAGGGGACUGAGACACGGCCCUUACUCCUACGGGAGGCAGCAGUGGGGAAUAUUGGACAAUGGACCAAGAGUCUGAUCCAGCAAUUCUGUGUGCACGAUGAAGUUUUUCGGAAUGUAAAGUGCUUUCAGUUGGGAAGAAAAAAAUGACGGUACCAACAGAAGAAGUGACGGCUAAAUACGUGCCAGCAGCCGCGGUAAUACGUAUGUCACAAGCGUUAUCCGGAUUUAUUGGGCGUAAAGCGCGUCUAGGUGGUUAUGUAAGUCUGAUGUGAAAAUGCAGGGCUCAACUCUGUAUUGCGUUGGAAACUGUGUAACUAGAGUACUGGAGAGGUAAGCGGAACUACAAGUGUAGAGGUGAAAUUCGUAGAUAUUUGUAGGAAUGCCGAUGGGGAAGCCAGCUUACUGGACAGAUACUGACGCUGAAGCGCGAAAGCGUGUGUAGCAAACAGG